rnacentral:rRNA from 1 species
AGUGAACGCUGGCGGUAGGCCUAACACAUGCAAGUCGAACGGCAGCACAGUAAGAGCUUGCUCUUACGGGUGGCGAGUGGCGGACGGGUGAGGAAUACAUCGGAAUCUACUUUUUCGUGGGGGAUAACGUAGGGAAACUUACGCUAAUACCGCAUACGACCUACGGGUGAAAGCAGGGGAUCUUCGGACCUUGCGCGAUUGAAUGAGCCGGUGUCGGAUUAGCUAGUUGGCGGGGUAAAGGCCCACCAAGGCGACGAUGCGUAGCUGGUCUGAGAGGAUGCACGGCAACACGGGAACUGAGACACGGUCCAGACUCCUACGGGAGGCAGCAGUGGGGAAUAUGGAGCAAUGGGCGAAAGCCUGACCGAGCAACGCCGGGUGGGUGAAGAAGGCCUUCGGUUUGUAAAGCUCUUUUUUUGGAAAAGAAAAAAGGGGUAUAAACCCCCGCUUGUCUUGACGUUACCAAAAAAAAAGGCCCGGGCUAACUUCGUG